GAUGAACGCUAGCGGGAGGCUUAACACAUGCAAGUCGAGGGGCAUCACGAGGUAGCAAUACUUUGGUGGCGACCGGCGCACGGGUGAGUAACGCGUAUGCAACCUACCCUGUACAGUGGGAUAACCCGGAGAAAUUCGGACUAAUACCGCAUAAAGAUAUUUUGAGGCAUCUUAAGAUAUUUAAAGCUUAGGUGGUACGGGAUGGGCAUGCGUAACAUUAGCUGGUUGGUAGGGUAACGGCCUACCAAGGCGAUGAUGUUUAGGGGACCUGAGAGGGUGAUCCCCCACACUGGUACUGAGACACGGACCAGACUCCUACGGGAGGCAGCAGUGAGGAAUAUUGGUCAAUGGGCGGAAGCUUGAACCAGCCAUCCCGCGUGCAGGAAGACAGCCCUAUGGGUUGUAAACUGCUUUUCCAGUGGGCGAAACACUCGUACGUGUACGAGAUUGACGGUACACUGGGAAUAAGCAUCGGCUAACUCCGUGCCAGCCGCCGCUGUAA
rnacentral:rRNA from 1 species